UGUAGCUGGGCGUGGUGGUUCACGCCUGUAAUCCAAGCACUUUGGAGGCCAAGGCGGGCAGAUUACCUGAGGUCGGGAGUUCAAGACCAGCCUGACCAACAUGGUGAAAAUCCGUCUUUAAAAACAAACAAAAAAUUAAUUAAUUAAUUUUAAAAAUUGUGUUCUGGUUAAUUAAAGAGAUAAGUUAUUUGUUAUUAUUAUUAUUGAGAUAGAGUUUCACUCUUCUUGCCCAGGCUGGAGUACAACAGCACCAUCUCAGUUUACCGCACACUCCGCCUCCUGGGUUCAAGCGAUUCUCCUGCCUCAGGCUCCCCAGUAGUUGGGAUUACAGGCAUGCGCCACCACACCCAGCUAAUUUUUCUCCAUGUUGGUCAGGCUGGUCUCAAACUUCUGGCCUCAGGAGAUCUGCCUACCUUGACCUCUCAAUUCCCGUAGCUGGGAUUACAGGCAUGAGCCAUGAAGCCCAGCAAUAAGUUAUUUUUAACAGAAGAACUACAGCUAACAAUUUCAUGAGGAGUUAUUGAAAUAGAAAACCACCAUCAUUAUAAUUCAUGCUGAAAAUAAGAAAUAAGUUGUUGGAGGCCAGGCGCAGUGGCUCACGCCUGUAAUCCCAGCACUUUGGGAGGCCAAGGCGGGUGGAUCACAAGGUCAAGAGAUCGAGAUCAUCCUGGCCAACAUGGUGAAACCCUGUCUCUACUAAAAAUACAAAAAUUAGCUGGGCAUGGUGGCACGUGCCUGUAAUCCCAGCUACUCAGGAGGCUGAGGCAGGAGAAUUGCCUGAACCCAGGAGGCGGAGGUUGCAGUGAGCUGAGAUUGCACCAUUGCACUCCAGCCUGGGUAACAAGAGCAAAGCUCCGUCUCAAAAAAAAAAGAAAUAAGUUGUUGGAAAAUUUAUGAUAAAUUAAUCAGGCUGACACUUGAACCCACUAAUCUUGACUUCAACCAAAGUAGGACAACUGAUCAUCACGUUUCCCCUAAUAUGAGGCAAUAGAAAGUAUACAACACAGGCCGUAUACUGUGGCUCAUGCCUGUAAUUACAGCACUUUGGGAGGUUAAGGUGGGCGGAUCAUGAGGGCAGGAGUUCGAGACCAGCCUGGCCAACAUACCAAAACCCCAUCUCUACUAAAAAUACAAAAAUUAGCCGGACAUGGUGGCAGGUGCCUUACCAGCUACUCAGGAGGUUGAGGCAGAAGAAUUGCUUGAACCCUGGAGGUGAAGGUUGCAGUGAGGCGAGAUUGUGCCACUGCACUCUAGCCUAGGGGACAGAGCGAGACUCCAUCUCAAAAAAAAAAGGUGAAAUAAAAAAAUAAAAUAAUAAUAAUAAUAAUAAAGGGCUGGGUGCAGUGUCUCAUGCCUGUAAUCCUAGCACUUUGGGAGGCUGAGGUGGGCAGAUCACCUGAAGUUGGACAUUUGAGACCAGCCUGACCAACAUGGAGAAAUCCCAUAUGUACUAAAAACACAAAAUUAGCUGGGCGUGGUGCCACAUGCCUGUAAUUCCAUCUACUUGGGAGGCUGAGGCAGGAGAAUUGCUUGAUCCGGGAGAUGGAGGUUACGGUGAGCUGAGAUCAUGCCAUUGCACUCCAGCCUGGGCAACAAGAGCAAAAAAACUACUUCUCAAAAAUUAAAAAAAAAAAAGAAAGAAAAUAUAUAACACAACCUUUGAAGUAUUUAUUCAAAGGAUGUGAAGCAGAAUCUAGUUGUCAGUUUGUGUAAGCCUAGAAGCAGACCCUGAGACUAGGAUUCACUCUAAGUAGUUUAUUUGGGAGGCGACCCCAGAAAACUUCCAUAAUGGAGUGGGAAAGUAAGACAGGUCCACUGUUGGCAGCUGGAGCUCAGAUCCACUGGGGAACUUUGACAGACGGCGUAGAACAAAUUUCAGAGCUGCCCCAACUGUGAGAUAAGGAAGCUGGGGUCUUUAUCCACCAAAUCCCUGGCUAUUGGCUGAGGUUUGCUGCUGGGGAUGUUAAUUCUCCUGCAUUCCUGACUUGCUUAGAGCAUAAGUUAGUGUGCUUCAUGGUGAGGAAAAGCCCUUGGGCAGUAAGAUGCCAAUCUUUGGCAUGUAGAAAUGAAUUCCCAGGGAGAUGGAGAAGUAUCUGGAGUGUGCCACGUCAAUCAGUACUCUGGACCUAACACCACUUCACAGCAGAAUAAAUGCUGAACAAUGUCAUAUGAAGACAAGUGGCCAAAUCCGGGGUGUGAGAAAUUCUCCAGGACAAAUGGUGGAGCCUCCUCCACAAAUUAAUUACUUUAGAAAAUACGGUGGGAGGGUUAUAAUCAAAACUUAGUCUAUAAUGUAAGACUUGACUGAGAGAUAUUUCAACCGAAUGCAAUGUGUAAAUUUUGGAACCUCAUUUAAAUUUAAAAACUGUAUUUUUUGAAAUUAUCAGAAAAAAAUUGAACAUGGACUAUUAGAAGAUAUGAAGAAAUUGCUGUUGGUUUAGAGCGUGAUCAUGAUAUUGUGGCAAUGUUAUUUUUAAACAUCUUUAUCUACUAGAGACUUUUAAAAAUAGAUGAAGUGAAUAUGGCAGAACGUUAACAGUUGUUAAAUUGAGGUGACAGGUGUGUGGAAUUCAUUACACAAUUCUGCCUACCUUUCUGUCUGUUGAAAACGUUAUAAAAGAGGAGAAAGGGAAAUGUAAAGAGGGAGGAGGGAGCACACUAGACUCCCUGGGUUCGAAUCCUGACUGCCGCUUUCUAGCUGAGUAAAUUCGAGGGAGUUAAACUUGCUGUGCCUCAGUUUCUUUAUCUGCAAAUUAGGCUAGUAGCAGUGACUAAUUUUUAAGAUUGGAGUAAGGAUGAACUGAAUUAGUAUCAGUAACGUGCUUAGGACAGUGCUCAGUAAAUAUUAGCUGUUAUAACUACAUCGAGAGUGAGUUUCAGUUUAUAACACAGAGGGAAUGCUGACUUCUGGUCCAUUCCCUGGGUAAGGGGCGUAGUUAGGUAAGAACGGGCAGCUCUCCCUGAAAACAUGUGGUUGAGAGUGGAGCAGUGCUCAAGGGGACAGAGGUCUCAGGAGGAGGAGACUGUGGUCUGAAAAGACAUUUGGAGAGGAGGUGGAACUUCCGAGGUGUGUCCCACUACCAGGAAAGAGGUGGUUUUUAAACGGCAAAGAGCGAUUCAUACACACAGGGCAGCGUGGGAGGGGGAAUGACGCAAAGCCCAAAGCUUUCCCGAGUGCCAGGCUGGGAGACCACCUGGGAGAGGAGUGGGGAGUGGUGGCUGGUGUUUCCUUCACUCCACCUUGCCACGGGGGACCCAAGGCUCUGAAACAGGAAGCAUCGGCUAGUGUGUACUGUUAAUUAAUACCCAUUAGUGCACCCUGACAGUGAGUGGACAGUGCCCAUCUCCCUAAGUGAGGCUGGCCAUACAUGUAAUAACCCUCGUUCUAGAAGAUGACCGGUGUGCAAGUCAAAGAGAUCUAGGGCCAAAGUUAUAUCUUCCUGCCUCAACCCAAGCCUCCAAAACCAAAGGAAGCAUUAAUGUCCCCCCCUGGAAAACAGCCAGUCACCUCAAUACACUUAGCCAAAGUGAGAAUCAGCAGGGUUUGCAGAAUGGCUUUAGAGAGUAGUUCGGGUUCAUCUCCCUCCCUUGGAGCCCCUGACAGGGUAGAAAUCCCUGAGAGUUCACCCCUCCUGACUCCUGGGUGGAGUACUGGGGUUUUUGGAUUUGAGGGAGAAAACUUGCUAGCACUCUUCAAGCAGCCUGCUGGACCCUUGGAGAAUUCUCGGGGCCCAGGAAGCCCAGGUCACUUAAAAAUGCUGCUGUUUCUGCUUCCUCCCAUCCUCCACCUCAAACAGGCCGUUUUCUGUCUGUUGGAUUUGCGUGCCUUUUGGGUGAAACCAGCCUUGGUACACAUAUUCCCGGCAGCUUGGGAAUGAAUGGCGAGAGCAGCAUGGUACAAUGGAAUGAAGUUUGAAUUUGCAGUUGUAAAAACUGGUUUCAAGUCCCAGUCCUGCCACUUACCUACUUGUUUGUUUGUUUGUUUGUUUAUUUAUUUUGAGAUGGAGCCUCGCUAUGUCGCCAGGCUGGAGUGCAGUGGUGUGAUCUCGGCUCACUGCAACCUCUACCUCCCAGGUUCAAGUGAUUCUCCUGACUCAGCCUCCCGAGUAGCUGGGAUUACAGGCACGCACCACCACGCCCAGCUAAUUUUUUUUUUGUAUUUUUAAUAGAGAUGUUUUGUGUUUGCGUGUGUGUGUGUGUGUAUUUUUAGUAGACAUGGGGUUUCACCAUGUUGACCAGGAUAGUCUUGACAUCGUGAUCCAUCCACCUUAGCCUCCCAAAGUGCUAGGAUUACAGGCAUGAGCCACUGUGCUGGGGUUGUUUGUUUACUUACCUUGGGCAAGUCAGUUAACCUCUCUGAGCCUCUGUUUUCUCAUUUGUAAAAUGGGAAUAAUACGAAUAUCUUGAUUACACAGGGUUUUUGUGAGAUCAAGCGAGAUAAUGGGAGAGCAAAGAAAAAUUCAAAACUCAAUUUUAUGCAGAACUCCAAUAUAUAAAACAGAAGAAAAUGGUGUUAUGUACGACUAUGUUUCCCUCAGCUUAUCUGCAGUUUCACUUUCAGAAAGCGAAAACCAGUGUCAUGGUUUCAGUUACAACCACAGUCAAAAACUAUUAAAUGAAGACCUCCAGAAAUAAUUCAUUAGUUUUAAAUCGUGCACCACUCUGAGCAGCCUGAUGAAAUAUCUUACCAUCCCACGCCAUCCUGCCCAGGAUAUGAAUUAUCCUUUGUCCAGGAUAUCCACUACCAGUUCCCAGGUCGCUUAGUGGCCUUCUAGGUUAUCAGAUCAACUGUCAAGGUAUCACAAUGCUUGUGUCAAGUAACCCUUAUUUUACUCCAUAAUUGCCCUAAAGUGCAACAGCAGUCAUAACAGCAAUUUGAAUAUGCUUUAUAUUAAUGACAAAUAGGCCGGAGUGCUUCCCUUAAGUGAAAAGUUAAAAGUUCUUGACUUAAGGAUAGGAAAAAAACCAUCUGCUGAGGUUGCUUACAUCUACAAUAAGAAUGAACCUUCCUUUCAUGAAAUUGAGACAAAGGAAAAAGGAAGUUAUGCUAGUUUUGUUGUCAAAUCUCAAACUGCAAAACUUAUGGCCACAAUGCACGAUAAGUACUUAGCUGAGACAGAUAGAGGGUGUGGUACUAUUUUUCAAGAAUCCACUGAGGGUCUUGGAACAUAUCUCCCACAGGUAAGAGGGGACGACUGUAUUAACAUAUUAAAGAAGAUAACUCUAAUUCAAGAGGUUGCUUUGAUGAAUAGGUAAAUUGAAAUUGAGAUGUUAGAUAAUAGUUACAAUCUUAUGUGUCCUAUUUAUUUCUGAAUUUUAUUUUGGUUACUCAGAAAAAAAAAAAUCCUGAUUCCACAAAUAAGUAGUUGUAAGUUGUAGCAGUGUUUUAAAUCUUGCAAUCUUAGGAUCCUCUUUAAUUAUCUUAAUUCCAGAAGCUUCACAGAAGUAUAAUGGGAAUUUUCCCCUCCGUGCUCCAAACCUUAUGAGUUGUGGCGAGGACUUUUUUUUUUUUUAGAUGGAGUCUCGCUCUGUCACCAGGCUGGAGUGCAGUGGCACGAUCUUGGCUCACUACAAUCUUCACCACUUCCUGUGUUCAAUCGAUUCUCCUGCCUCAGCUUCCUGAGUAGCUGGGAUUACAGAUAUAGUCUUGUUCUGUCGCCACGCUGGAGUGCAGUGGUUCGAUCUCAGCUUACUGCAACCUCCGCUUCCCGGUUUCAAGUGAUUCUCCUGCCUCAGCCUCCCAAGUAGCUGGGACUACAGGAAUUGAAUUUUGAUGGAAAAAUAAGCUUUAACCAUUCACUUCAUUCAUCACUGGAAAUUGCUUCAGUCAAAUGGCAGAGAAAACAGCCGAAGAUAAAUGCAGAGCUGAACCGCUUCCUUCAGCCCCUCACCCAGCCUGGGGAGAGCUCCUAUAGCAUCCACGGAAAGGCAACCUUAAAACCACAGAGUAAGUACCACCUCUACCAGCUAGCAGCAGUUACGCUAAAUUUGUCUAAGUGAAGGUAGUUUCCUCCAACUCUAGACUUGGGGAAAGUCAUGUUUCCGAGGUAAGAAAAACAGACAUGAUUAUUUAAUUCACAUAGAGAAAGGAGAAAGACUUUAAACAUGUUACGCACACCUGGCCUUCCCAAGCUGCCUCUCCGUAAGUCCUAGGAUGGAAGAAACAAAUGAUAUAUCGAAGUGACUGGUAUUAGAGAAAGGGUUCUGGUGGCUCUGGCACAUUCAUCAGGCACAGACUUGUGUGCAUGUGCCCACACAUACCACACACACACAAAUACACAGCCUUCAAAAAGAAGCACAGCCUGGGCAUACUUCCUAAAACAUGAUAGUGAUUCAACACGCAUUUAUGCGAGAAGACUUUGUCUAUAAGGGAAACAGAAAGUAGGGUGAAAGUAAGGAUACAUUUUAUGGCCGGGCACGGUGGCUAAUGCCUGUAAUCCCAGCACUUUGGGAGGCCGAAGCGGGAGGAUCACCUGAGGUGGGGAGUUCGAGACCAGCCUGAUCAACAGGGAAAAGCCCCAUCUCUACUAAAAAUACAAAAUUAGCUAGUGUGAUGCAUGCCUGUAAUCCCAGCUACUUGAGAGGCUGAGGCAGGAGGAUCGCUUGAACCCAGGAGGCGGAGGUUGCAGUGAGCUGAGAUCGCACCAUUGCAAUCCAGCCUGGG